AUCACUGCAGCUGUCACGCAUCUUCCUAAAUCUGGGAUUUUUUUUGCCACCCCGACCCCCCGCGUGGGUUUGUAAAAACGCCGGGCUGCGGUAGGCUUCUCCUGACAGCUCCUUCCCCGCCCUCUCCGGGCAGCACCACUGGGCCGCCCAUGAAGCGCGGCAAGGCACGUGUCAAAAAACGAAGCAAAAGAAGAAAGUAUCUUUCCUACACGGAGCCGCCGGGGGAGCAGCCCUAGCCCUUUAAGCUGCCCACCCUCGCCGGCAAGGCCGCGGCGGCAGCUGGCGGCUAUUUAUACGCGGGCGGCGGCGAGCGCCGGGCGUCUUGCGCGGGGCGGUCCCGGUAGCAGCGGCGGGGCUCGGGCCCGGGCCCGGGCCGGAGGCUGCCAUGGACACGGUUUUCACCUCCACGCCGGCGAGCGGGAGCCGCUCCCUCGGCCGCUCCUCCGCCGAGUCGCCCCUAAGCCCGAUGCGGCUGAGCCGGCUGCAGGAGAAGGAGGAGCUGCGGGAGCUCAACGACCGCCUGGCCGCCUACAUCGAGCGGGCGCGGGCGCUGGAGACCGACAAGUCGGCGCUGCAGCAGCGGCUGGCCGAGCAGGAGGCGGGCAGCCACCGGGAGCUGGACAGCCUGCGGCUCUGCUACGAGGCGGAGCUAGCCGACGCCCGCCGGGCGCUGGACAACAUCGCCAUGGAGCGGGCCAAGCUGCAGGUGGAGCUGGGCAAUAUCGGCGAGGAGCACCGGCAGCUGCACAGCAGGAAUUCAAAAAAGGAAGCUGAUUUAAACCUGGCACAGGCUCGUAUCAGAGACCUUGAUGCUCAGCUGAACGCAAAGGAAGCUGACUUAGCAAGAGCUUUGAAUGAGAACCGAAGUCUGGGGGUUGGCCUUCAUGAAUUAAAGGAUCAAGUAGUCACACUGAAGCUGUCACUGGAAGAUACCAAAAAGCAUCUCCACAGUGAAAUGUUGAGGAGGGUGGACCUGGAAAAUCAUAUGAAAACUUUGCAGGAACAAAUGACAUUCCAGAAGCGUCUUCACGAAGAUGAGCUCAAGGAGGCAAAAAGAGUCCACGAGAGCAGGAUAGCAGAAAUAGAAUCUGGCCGUCGGAGAGAAUUUGAGAGUAAGCUCUUGGAUGCUCUGCAGGGGCUCAGAAAACAACAGGAAGAACAAAUUAAAGGAUAUAAAGAGGAGCUGGAACGAACAUUCAGUGCAAAAAUGGAGAAUGCCCAGCUAUCUGCAGCAAGAAAUAGUGACUUUGCCAAUGCUGCUCGGGAGGAACUGAUGGAAACAAAGUUGAGAGUUGAUACUUUGACAUCUCAAGUUAAUCAAUAUCAAAGCCAGAAUGUUGCUUUGGAGAACAGAAUAAAGGAGCUACAGGAGAUGCUGGAUUAUGAUCGUGAUCUCUAUCGAAGGCAUAUGGCUGAAAAAGAGAAAGAAAUAGAACAAGCCCAGCAGCAGACACAAGCACAGUUGGAAGAAUAUGAGCAUCUCUUAGAUGUGAAACUGGCUCUAGAUCUGGAAAUAAGUAGCUACAGAAAGAUGCUGGAGGGAGAGGAACAGAGGCUAAAGCUGUCACCCAGUCAAUCUUCACACAGCACUGCAACUCAAGCAACAAGUCAAGGGCGACGGUUCCUACAUGCGAAGAAAAGGAAAAUGAAAGAAGCUAAAGAGAGAGGCCAUAGUGCUGGAUUUAAGACUGUUCAUCAUGCUUCAUCUUCUGGAAAUGUAUCUAUUGAAGAAAUUGAUGCAGCUGGGAAAUUUGUCAGGCUUAAAAACAACUCUUAUGAGGAUCAACCACUACAUGGAUGGGUGUUAAGACGACAUCUUGGAAGUGUGUCAGAUGUAACAUACAAAUUUCCUUCGCUGUUCACUCUUCAGGCAGGCCAAGUAGUUACAAUCUGGGGUGCAGCUGCUGGUGUAAGCCCAGGUCCUAGUGAUCUGGUCUGGAAGUCUCAGAUGUCUUGGGGAACUGGGGAUAGUAUUGGUGUUACACUCAUCACAGCUGAUGGUGAGGAACUUGCAGAGAGGAAGAUAAUGCAUGUACCCAGAGCAGAAGAAAGCAGUGAGCAAGAUGAUGAUUAUGAAGAAAUAACUGGGAGCGACAUAGAGUUUCCAUCUCGGACUAAAAGAAGAAGAAAAAAGAAAUGUUGUUUGGUUUCAUGAUAGUGGUUCCUGUGAGCACCCUUAAGCAGCAACUUUACAAUAAAGUUGUGUGUCAUUUAUGCAAAAUGAGGAUCCUAGCUGUUAUAUCAUGUAAUGUGGACAAAGAGAUGAUAAUCUGAAAAAACUUCUCAAUACCAGGUGACAUAGACUAUAUAUGUUUUGGUAUCUUCUGCAAUAUCUGAAACUUGGAAUUCACAUCUCCUAUUUGACCUCUUUGUAAGAAACACUGUCCAUAACGUGAUGAAAUUUCCUACCUUCUGAUACUGGACCCUGUCCUUGGAUUCACUGAUAGAAAGAGCAGUAGAAUAUAAGCUCCAUGUGAAGUUAUUUUUACUUUAACACAAGGAUCUGGUUUUCAUGACCUGCUGAAACAGAGGAGAGUACACAGUUUACAAAGCUUAUAAACAUAUGCCCUAGAAGGAUGCUAAAUACUUGACAAUGAGCAUGAGGCUGCCUCAGCUUUCUCAAUAUUCCAAUAUGGUGUUUCUCCAAAGGCAAUUUCUGUUUCAAGCCUGAGUAGGGAAACUACAUGGGCCAGAUCACACCCUAGCUUGCACCUUGAGCAAGUCUGAACUUGGCAGAAGUAAAACACUAUCCUGAAGAGUGCUGAGUGUCUGAAAUGUUUCCUGCUCGGAUCCUGAUGCUGUAAUAUAUGAAACUGGUCUAGAUCACUUGCUAGAGAGAGACAUUUUAAAAUUAAAAGCAAGUUGUAAAAAU